GCCCCCGUGAGAAUGCCCUAUCGUUCCCGCCCGGAAACAAGGAGCUGGUAUCAGGCACACUAAACAAGCCCACGACGCCUUGCUCAGCCACACCCUCAAGGGUACUCAGCAGUGACAUACAUUGAUACAUAAGUGAAAGCUUGACUCAGUUAAAGCUAAGAGGGCCGGUAAAACUCGUGCCAGCCACCGCGGUUAUACGGGUGGCCCAAGUUGUCAGAAGUCGGCGUAAAGGGUGGUUAAGAGCAAACUUAAGAUUAAAGCCGAACACCUUCCAGACCGUUAUACGUAUCCGAAGGCAAGAAGCUCAAUUACGAAAGUAGCUUUAUAUUUUCUGAACCCACGAAAGCUAAGGUACAAACUGGGAUUAGAUACCCCACUAUGCUUAGCCAUAAACAUUGACAGUACUUAACAUUUUCUGUCCGCCCGGGGACUACGAGCACCAGCUUAAAACCCAAAGGACUUGGCGGUGCUUUAGACCCACCUAGAGGAGCCUGUUCUAGAACCGAUACUCCCCGUUCAACCUCACCCCUCCUUGCCAAUCCCGCCUAUAUACCACCGUCGUCAGCUUACCCUUUGAGGGACAAAUAGUAAGCAAAACUGGCAUCACCCAGCACGUCAGGUCGAGGUGUAGCGAAUGGGGGGGGAAGAAAUGGGCUACAUUCCCUUACCGACAGGGAACUACGAAUGGUGCACUGAAAACGUGCUCCUGAAGGAGGAUUUAGCAGUAAAAGAGAAAAUAGAGAAUUCCUUUGAAACCGGCUCUUAAGCGCGCACACACCGCCCGUCACUCUCCCCGAGACCUAAACUUACUUUAACUAAAACAUCAGAAUCACAGAGGGGAGGCAAGUCGUAACAUGGUAAGUGUACCGGAAGGUGCACUUGGAAAAC
rnacentral:ncRNA from 1 species